CUUGAUCCCAGCUGAAAACUGACUUUGCCAGCCGUCUGAGAACUCAAAUGAGAUGGAACUGGUUACAAGUUUAUCUGCAAUGAUCCAUCGAUGUUUUCCAGUAACUGCCACCUGUCCAACAAUCCCUUCUCCAAGACAAUAGACAUGAUAUGACAUCUUUGCCACAGCUAAUCCAAGCGGGUCAUGUGAAUAACGCCCACCACACAAGUGUUCUAAUGUCUCCCUGAAGCACUUACUCUCUAAAGGAUCAUGUUGCUCACAAUUGUCAUAGUAAGCAUCUUCCCAAGUUAACACCAUGCGAGCUCGAUGCUUG
rnacentral:misc_RNA from 1 species